rnacentral:rRNA from 1 species
UACACACCGCCCGUCACACCAUGGGAGCGGGUUUCACCAGAAGUAGCUAGCCUAACCUGCAAAGGAGGGCGGUUACCACGGUGAAAGAUUCGUGACUGGGGUG